GAUGAACGCUAGCAGAACGCCUAACACAUGCAAGUCGAACGAAUAUUGAUUUUCGGAUUAAUAUUAGUGGCAAACGGGCGAGUAACACGUAUCUAACCUGCCCUUGAGUGAGGCACAACUAUGGAGACAUAGCUAAUUCCUCAUACGUCCCGAUAAAUGAAAAUAAUCGGGAGAAAGAUUUAUCGCUCAAGGAGGGGGGUGCGGCCUAUCAGGUAGUUGGUGAGGUAAUGGCUCACCAAGCCUAUGACGGGUAGCCGGUCUGAGAGGAUGUCCGGCCGCAAUGGGAACUGAGAACGGUCCAUACUCCUACGGGAGGCAGCAGUGGGGAAUAUUGGACAAUGGGCGAAAGCCUUGAUC
rnacentral:rRNA from 1 species